rnacentral:rRNA from 1 species
GACGAACGCUGGCGGCGUGCUUAACACAUGCAAGUCGAACGGAAAGGCCCUGCUUUUGUGGGGUGCUCGAGUGGCGAACGGGUGAGUAACACGUGUGUAACCUGCCUUUUCCUUUGGGAUAACUUCAGGAAACCGGGGCUAAUACCGGUUAUGAGCUCCUGCUGCAUGGGGGGGGUUGGAAAGUUUCGGCGGUUGGGGAUGGACUUGCGGCUUAUCAGCUUGUUUGUGGGGUAGUGGCUUGCCAAGGCUUUGACGGGUCGCCGGCCUGAGAGGGUGAACGGCCACAUUGGGACUGAGAUACGGCCCAGACUCCGACGGGAGGCAGCAAUAGGGAGUAUUGCACAAGGGGCGGGAGCCUGAGGCAGCGACGACGCGUGCGGGAUGACGGCCUUCGGGUUGUAGACCGCUUUCGCCUGUGACGAAGCGUGGGUGACGGUAAUGGGUAAAGAAGCACCGGCUAACUACGUG